AAUUUCUUUGUUAAUCUAAUUUUUUUUGUUCUUUUUUUUUUCUUCUUCGUCAAUUAUUAGUUUGCCCAAUCUCUCAUUGACGGUAAAACACAAGUGGAGGAGUACAACACUGAAAUCACAAAGCUCAGGUCCCGACUUUGCCACUACUUAUUUUCCUCAAUAGAUCGAACUAGGAAGUGCAGUUAGUGCUGGUUCGUGAUUGCAGCCAAAGACCGGGUGCAGUGCCAGAAAUGUGGUGCAUACAAGCACAUGCGUUGUUCAAAGUCUGUCUGUGGCAUCUGUAUCUUCUUUGAGAGUAAGUCACAAUAUAACUAAACAAUGUCCAAAAAUGUUUAAAGUGAAAGAUUUUUCGUAAUUUUGCCUUUGCACACCAGGACUGUGUAAUUAAAGUGGACGUUUCAAGAUCCAGUUUUUACACAAAACUAUUUUAGACAUAACUGUGUCGUAUUGUGGGGAUUUCCCAACACAAUUAAAUUGAUAUAGUGCUGUUUAUAUCAUUCUUCUUUAUGUAACAGCACAGUGCAGCACAGCAGAGGGAAAGGAGUUGUGCAGCAUAGUAGGUGGCUAUAGAGGAGGAGCAAUAGAAGUAGCCAGCGAAGAAUGUCAUCAGGGAAAGCAUCAGGCAGCGAAUGACAAAGGAAAAGUUCCUAAGGGAGAGAACAUCUGCAGCAAACCGACAAGUAACAGUGAGAUAGGAAGACUGACAGUCAGAGAUGAAGGCACACAGACUGAAAGAGAUGAAGGCACACAGACUGAA